UACGUAGGGUGCGAGCGUUGUCCGGAAUUAUUGGGCGUAAAGGGCUCGUAGGCGGUCUGUCACGUCGGGAGUGAAAACCCGGGGCUUAACCCCGUGCCUGCUUCCGAUACGGGCAGACUAGAGGUAUGCAGGGGAGAACGGAAUUCCUGGUGUAGCGGUGAAAUGCGCAGAUAUCAGGAGGAACACCGGUGGCGAAGGCGGUUCUCUGGGCAUUACCUGACGCUGAGGAGCGAAAGUGUGGGGAGCGAACAGG
rnacentral:rRNA from 1 species